rnacentral:rRNA from 1 species
GAUGAACGCUGGCGGCGUGCCUAAUACAUGCAAGUCGAGCGAACGGACGAGAAGCUUGCUUCUCUGAUGUUAGCGGCGGACGGGUGAGUAACACGUGGAUAACCUACCUAUAAGACUGGGAUAAUUUCGGGAAACCGGAGCUAAUACCGGAUGAUAUCUUGAACCGCAUGGUUCAAUAGUGAAAGACGGUCUUGCUGUCUCUUAUAGAUGGAUCCGCGCUGCAUUAGCUAGUUGGUAAGGUAACGGCUUACCAAGGCAACGAGGCGUAGCCGACCUGAGAGGGUGAACGGCCACACGAGAGGUGAGACACGGUCCAGACUCCUACGGGAGGCAGCAGUAGGGAAUCUUCCGCAAUGGGCGAGAGCCUGACGGAGCAACGCCGCGUGAGUGAUGAAGGUCUUCGGAUCGUAAAACUCUGUUAUUAGGGAAGAACAUAUGUGUAAGUAACUGUGCACAUCUUGACGGUACCUAAUAAGAAAGCCACGGCUAACUACGUG